rnacentral:rRNA from 1 species
AGUGGCGAAAGGGUGAGGAAUAGAUAGGAACGUGCCUUUGGCUUCGGAAUAGCGUCCCGAAAGGGGCGGUAAUACCGGAUAACGUCUACGGACCAAAGAUUUAUCGGCCUUAGAGCGGCCUAUCUCCUAUCAGCUUGUUGGUGGGGUAAUGGCCUACCAAGGCAACGACGGGUAGCGGGACUGAGAGGUUGGCCCGCCACAUCGGGACUGAGACACUGCCCGGACCUCCACGGAGGGCUGCAGUAACGAAUAUUGGGCAAUGGGCGAAAGCCUGACCCAGCAAUGCCGCGUGUAGGAUGAAGCCCCUCGGGGUGUAAACUACUGUCAGGGGUUAGAAAGCUACGGUUGAUCAACCCCAGAGGAAGUCACGGCUAACUUCGUGCCAGCAGACGCGGUAAUACGAAGGUGGCGAGCGUUAUUCGGAAUUACUGGGCUUAGAGCGCACGCAGGCGGAAUAUUUAGCGUCUUGUGGAAUCCACCGGCUUAACCGGGGAAUUGCAAGGCGAACUGGUAUUCUUGAGGCAAGUAGGGGUGCAUGGAACUCUAGGUGGAGCGGUGGAAUGCGUAGAUCUCAAGAGGAACGCCGAUGGUGAAGACAGUGCACUGGGCUUGUCCUGACGCUGAGGUGCGAAAGCGUGGGGGAGCGAACGGGAUUUAGAUACCCCGGUAGGUCCACGCCGUAAACGAUGCCUACUAGGUCGUGGUUGUUCUGACACACUCACGGCCGAAGCAAAAGUGUUUAGUAGGCCGCCUGGGGAGUUCGGUCGCAAGGCUAAAACUCAAAGGAAUUGACGGGGGCUCACACAAGCGGUGGAGCAUGUGGAUUAAUUCGAAGCAACGCGCAGAACCUUACCUGGGUUUGACAUGUAUGGAUGCCUGCUGUGAAAACAGUUAGGUUGCCUUCGGGUGAAACUUACACAGGUGCUGCAUGGCUGUCGUCAGCUCGUGUCGUGAGAUGUCGGGUUAAGUCCUUUAACGAGCGAAACCCUUGCCGUUAGUUGCCAGCGGGUCAUGCCGGGGACUCUAACGGGACUGCCGGUGUCAAACCGGAGGAAGGUGGGGAUGACGUCAAGUCCUCAUGGCCUUUAUGCCCAGGGCCUCACACGUGCUACAAUGGGUGCUACAGAGCGACGCGAGACCGCGAGGUGGAGCUAAUCGCAAAAAAGCAUCCUCAGUUCGGAUUGCAGGCUGGCAAUUCGCCUGCAUGAAGUUGGAAUCGCUAGUAAUCGCGUAUCAGCUAUGACGCGGUGAAUGUGUUCCUGAGCCUUGUACACACCGCCCGUCAAGUGAUGGAAGCCGGGAGUACCCGAAGUCGG